GAUCUUCUCUGUUGGUUCUGUUGGUGUGUUCUGUUCUGUUUCGCUGGUUUUUCCGUUGUGUUCUGUUGAUCUGUGAUCUGCUCAGGAUUCUGUUCCGUUCAGUUCUUUUCUCUAUUCUGAUUUUAUGUUUCUGUUCUUUUUAGGUUUCUGUUGUGUUUCUGUCCUGUUCUACCCUGUUGUCUUUUGUUCUGAUCUGUUCUGAUUUGUUCUUUUUCCUGUGCAAUUGGUUAUUUUCUUCUCUGUUCUGUUCUGGCCCGUCCCAUUUUGCCUUGCUCUGUUCUGCUCUGUCUGCUCUUUUCUGUCUUGUUCUUCCUCCUUCUACUUUGCUCUUUGUUUGAUUCGCUAUGGCUAUAAUAAUUCCAAUUUGCUCUGUCUUAUCUUCCAUCCAGCUACAACCAAUUCUCUCUAAUUAAUCUGAGAUCCUUAAUAUUGAUUAAUUGAAUUGAUCAUAAUGUCAACCGAUCUAAAGACAAAUGCAACCAUCCUUCGAUCCAAGAUGCUCAGACUUUUUGCUGAUUUCUCUUCACCAUGUGUACUGCUCUAUUCUACUUUAUUGUAGCCUAUAAAGCAAUAAUAAUGUUCUAUUCUACUCGGGUGGUAAGCUCUGUUCCAGCCUGGGAGCUCCUCUGUCUGUCUCAGCAGAUCACCGUCUGUGGUUCAUCACACAGCGGCACCAGGGACCCAGGUGUUUAAGCAGAGCAAAGACCCUGAACACCCCACGACUCUUUUCCCUUUGGCGCUUGUGGGCUGUAAUGAUGAUGUCCUGGGCAGCACAAAUCUAUAACAACAUAACACAUUUUCUUGCGCGGGCACGUACACACACGCACACGCACACACACACACACACACACACACACACAAACACACACAGCCAGACAUAAAGAUGCACAAACACAUGCACUGGCAGCACAGACAGCACAAAGCGCACAGACGCCUCACACAACAGGGUAAAGAGGAAGGGUAAAAGGUGAAAAAAUCCGGGCAUUAAGAAGAAACUUUCCGCUGUCUCCUCUCGUGCCCUAGCCAGUUCAGCCUGAGUGUGUUAAACAUCUCUCACCUUGGUUCAAAGUGAUCGCCAAAGUUAUGAUCCACAGGGCUGGCAUGGUUCAGCCGAGCGCGUUCAGAUUCCUCCCCUCGGCUCUGCUUCCCUGAAAAGACACCAUCAAUUCCUCCCGACAGGGUGAAUUUAACUGGAAUCCUCUUUGAGUCAUGAGAGUGAAAGAAGCCAAAUUUAGGGAGGGGGGGGCGAAAUCGAUUCCUCUUUCCCUUUCUCCCCUUUCCUUUCUUCUACUCGUUUCCCUGUCUUUCCCGUGCGUAAAAUAAAUCUGUCUCCACUUUUUUCGCCUGCUCUCUUGGUUUAUCAGUCUCUUGCGUCUCUUUUCCUCUCUGCGCUCUAGAUUCCCAUUUAAACAGGACUGAAUCCCCCCCCCCCCCCCAUACAAUCAGUAGCACACACCCCCUCCCUCCUCCUCCACGCCUCCCCGCUCCAAAUCUCCGUUUUGGACUCCACAGAGAAGAGGAGGGCGCUCCAGCGGCCGCAACGAGAACUGUGCUUUAAACACGAAAACUUAAAUCAUCAAGUGCUUCAAACUCACAACUGAGUGCACCUUAAACGCAGAAUAUUCUGCAGCAGGUUAUGCUUGUAAUAUUUAAUAAAACUCCUACAAAUUG